rnacentral:tRNA from 1 species
GCGGUGGUGUUGGUUUCAGACUCAUGAUUUCCAGUCAUGAGAGCCCGGGUUCAAAUCCCGGCCUAGGCU